rnacentral:rRNA from 1 species
AGUGAACGCUGGCGGUAGGCCUAACACAUGCAAGCCGAACGGCAGCACAGUAAGAGCUUGCUCUUACGGGUGGCGAGUGGCGGACGGGUGAGGAAUACAUCGGAACCUACUUUUUCGUGGGGGAUAACGUAGGGAAACUUACGCUAAUACCGCAUACGACCUACGGGUGAAAGCAGGGGAUCUUCGGACCUUGCGCGAUUGAAUGAGCCGAUGUCGGAUUAGCUAGUUGGCGGGGUAAAGGCCCACCAAGGCGACGAUCCGUAGCUGGUCUGAGAGGAUGAUCAGCCACACUGGAACUGAGACACGGUCCAGACUCCUACGGGAGGCAGCAGUGGGGAAUAUUGGACAAUGGGCGCAAGCCUGAUCCAGCCAUACCGCGUGGGUGAAGAAGGCCUUCGGGUUGUAAAGCCCUUUUGUUGGGAAAGAAAAGCAGCAGGUUAAUACCCCGCUGUUCUGACGGUACCCAAAGAAUAAGCACCGGCUAACUUCGUG